AUUGAACGCUGGCGGCAGGCUUAACACAUGCAAGUCGAGCGGGGUGAUGAUGCUUGCACUAUCACUUAGCGGCGGACGGGUGAGUAAUGCUUAGGAAUCUGCCUAUUAGUGGGGGACAACAUCUCGAAAGGGAUGCUAAUACCGCAUACGUCCUACGGGAGAAAGCAGGGGAUCACUUGUGACCUUGCGCUAAUAGAUGAGCCUAAGUGGGAUGAGCUAGUUGGUGGGGUAAAGGCCUACCAAGGCGACGAUCUGUAGCGGGUCUGAGAGGAAGAUCCGCCACACUGGGACUGAGACACGGCCCAGAAUCCUACGGGAGGAAGCAGUGGGGAAUAUUGGACAAUGGGGGGAACCCUGAUCCAGCCAUGCCGCGUGUGUGAAGAAGGCCUUAUGGUUGUAAAGCACUUUAAGCGAGGAGGAGGCUCUUUUGGUUAAUACCCAAGAUGAGUGGACGUUACUCGCAGAAUAAGCACCGGCUAACUCUGUGCCAGCAGCCGCCGCGG
rnacentral:rRNA from 1 species